AACUAAGUUUAUUCUUGGUAUAAGCUUUCUUGUGCAUGCACACUGUGUAUCUGAAGAAGUGUGCAUGUACACGAAAGCCUAUACCAAGAACAAAUAUAGUUGG